CUUGCUUGUGCUCUCUCUGUCUCUCUCAAAAAUGAAUAAACAUUUUUUUUUCAUUAAAAAAAAAUUUAAGUGGAUUAUUUCACUUAAACCAUUCUUUCAACACUUAUUUGCACACGCCCGAAAUGCCAGCAAGGUUCUAGGUGCUGUGAGAUAGCGGUGGACAAAAGAGACAAAGUCCCCUGGAGAAUCAAAGGGCGAUUUAUACACGCAGUGCAAUAUUAUUCAGCCUUAAAGAAGAAGGAAACCCUGUCACGGGCCGCCACGUGGAUGGAUGCUGGGGACAGACGCUAAGUGAAAUAAUCCAGGCACAAACAGACGAACGCUGUAUGAUCCCACUCACAUGAGAGAGACCAAGUGCCUGCUCUCGAGGGGUCCAUGUUCUAGAGGAGACGUCUCUAGUCCAGCGGCUGCACCGGACUUGGGGUUCAGAGUGAUGAUCUCAUGCUCUGUACAGCCCUCCUUGCUGAGGCUCCCGCACGGAUGAGUGAAGUACGCGCCCAUGUUCACCUUGGGCGCCGGCCGGGGGUACAUGCUGACACCCCGAGGGGUCCUUGAACUAUCACACAGCCAUGCUGCAGCCUGCUUCUCCGAUGCCGCUGGGCACAGAGCUACCAGCCCCAGGGAUUCUGCCCACUUCCUUCGUCCCCUGGGGGCACAUCAGCCCAGGAUGUCUUCCUGAUGGCUCCCGGACCACAAGAGUGUGCUGGCAGCAUAUGGUCCAGCACCACCCAGCUCCUGACUGCAGACAAGCUCUUCUGCCUUGGAAGUGCUGAGAAGUGUUGCCCGCCCAAUCCGGAGGACCGUCUGCCAGUUGUUAAUGAUCUGCUAGAAUCCCAGCUCCAAGGCCACCUCAGCGGUGCCGUCUUCUGGAGGAAAUCAUGCCCCCUCCUGGGCUCCCCUGGUCCUCAUUCAGACUGGCCCGGGUCACAGUCUCACCUGCAUUUCGGUAGGUUGUGUUCAGUCCCUUGUCAUCCCCGGUGCAUGUCCCCCUGGUGCAGGCAGAACUCACCAGGGAAUCCAGAGCGGCUCCACGUGGGAGGCAUGUGGGACCUGCCUAUUGGCUGUGAAACGAACAGCCCCCUCGUUCCCCACUGGCAGGCGAGGAUAGUUAAGCAGAGGGCGGAGGACUGGACAAGAAGAGACAGUCUUGACAUUGGCCAGGAGAGGCUCUGCCGGAAUCUAGACCCUCAGCUGUUUCCAUGGCCCCGGGACAGCUGCUUCUGAAUCCCUUCCUCAAAGUCAAGCGCACUGAGGACCUAGGAGGAGAAUGAUCCUGAAGAUGCUCCCCAUCAGGUCAUGCUCUGGGUCCGGGCGCCUCAUGU